rnacentral:rRNA from 1 species
GCGCACCAUCGACCGAUCAUGAUGUCUUCGGAUGGAUUUGAGUACGAGCGUAGCUGUGGGGACCCGAAAGAUGGUGAACUAUGCCUGAAUAGGGCGAAGCCAGAGGAAACUCUGGUGGAGGCUCGCAGCGGUUCUGACGUGCAAAUCGAUCGUCAAAUUUGGGUAUAGGGGCGAAAGACUAAUCGAACCAUCUGGUAGCUGGUUCCUGCCGAAGUUUCCCUCAGGAUAGCAGUAACGCGGAUCAGUUUUAUGAGGUAAAGCGAAUGAUUAGAGGCAUUGGGGUUGAAACAACCUUAACCUAUUCUCAAACUUUAAAUAUGUAAGAAGCGCUUGUUGCUUAGUUGAACGUGCGCAUUAGAAUGGAGCGUUACUAGUGGGCCAUUUUUGGUAAGCAGAACUGGCGAUGCGGGAUGAACCGAACGCGAGGUUAAGGUGCCGGAAUGCACGCUCAUCAGACACCACAAAAGGUGUUAGUUCAUCUAGACAGCCCGACGGUGGCCAUGGAAGUCGGAAUCCGCUAAGGAGUGUGUAACAACUCCCGGGCCGAAUGAACUAGCCCUGAAAAUGGAUGGCGCUCAAGCGUGCUACCC